rnacentral:lncRNA from 1 species
GUUCCCAUCACAAUCAAAGAGUUAUUGAUACUUCCUUUCUUUGGUAUACUCACCUACUUUUGGUGAAUUUGCAGAGUCAAAAUCAUGACACGAAUCCGGGGAGACACCGACGUAACCCAACUCAAAUGGAAUAGUAAGUCGCAUGGAUAUAGGAAUGGAUUACUGUAUUUGUUGACACCUCAGCGUUUGAAAAACGAAUAGCUUUUCAUAAACAUAAUUCAGAAACAGAAAAUAUUCUAUAUAUUGAGAAUAGAAUCAAAAUCGAUUGAAUUUCGAAGAUUCGAAUUCGAAAUU